UCCGCGGUGACGUAGGCCAGGGGAGCCGUGGCCUGCGGAGGGGCAAUACUAUCUUCUCCCACCAGGCUCUUGGCCAUAUUGUUCUGCUUUUCCGCGUGAUAACUCCGCAGUGGAGGUGGAUUCUGGCCAAGACGCCAACGUGGCUCUGCUUAACAAUCGGCGCCGCAAUCCGGGCGGGUUACCUUUCGCCGUGGCAUUUCUCCAUGCCCGGCGCUCGCUGCUCUGCUCGUGCAGCCCGAGCCCUCCCCAGCUAGUGGCAUUUACAACGGAAACUCCUUCAAUAUAGACGAGCUGCAAAGGGCGGUGCUGGUGCCCUGGCGGAGCUGGAAGUCGUCGGUGCGGGGCCGUUCUGCCUGUGUGAGGUUCUCACGUGCGAGUGUGUGUUUCACGGGAGGAGAGGGGAGCAGUGGAGGGAAGAAGAUGAAGACGAGGAAGGAUGCGCGGAUCACGAAAUGUAAGCGCGGCGCGACUAACGAUCCGCACCAAUUUGGAGAGCAGGCAUGUGAAAGGUCAUGGACAAUUGUUGCUGGUUUCAGCCUGCGUGCCUAAGUGGGGUGUAUUCUUGAGCAAUCCCAUUUAAGUCUGAUUCACUGAAAAGUAUUGAAGUGCCCACAAUUCAUCACAAUACACAGUGAAAACUCACAAAUGAGAGUGUUGCCCAAUUCAACUAUUAACAUAUAAGUGAUGGACUGACGUAGUCAUGAAAUCGGUACCAUGCAUCUCUACACACAUCACCUCUUAUGAAGCUGUGCCAGACUCUUCAUGUUGGCACCCAGAAGCUUGCCAAGGAGCCUUCUCUUGGGAUUUACGCACAGGACAAGUCAGGGUCCAGCUGCUGUGGUUUGACUUAGGGUUGGGACUUUCAUGUUCUUGUAGCACUUGUGGAAAUUUGUUUGCCUCUCUGCAGAAGGAAGUCUGAAGCUACCUUCAGAGGUAGCCACCUGAAGAUUCUGUGAAAAAUGUAUCCCUUUGCUGGAAUGAAAUACCUUGCUCCUUUUUCCCCAUGGUGAAAAUCAUAAGAAUUUUCCCAGAGAAUCAGCAUUUUUAACAAUCUGUCCUUGUUUUCAAUAUAGAAAAAAAAAACUGCAUGACAACACACCAUUCUUACUGCCGCGCAGGUUUUCUUCUACUGAUUCAAGCAACGACGUCACGUUUUCUCACCAUUUGCAGUUUUUGGUAACUCCAUCAGGACUUCACAGCAGGUAGACAACCCUCAAAUCUGUUCUUAAUUUCAACUUAACUAAAAGACUCUCAGCAACAGCUGCCUUCAGAAUAACUGGUACAGAAUUCCACAGAUGUGGUUCAUAAUAGUUUAAAGAAUAAAAGGAACUAGGCCCCAGAGCAGAAUUCACUUAAGGAGAGACAAAUUCAAUAAGGGUUUCUCUUUUGAAAGAUUUCCCAUGUCUGGGAAGAGAGGGGCCUGCCUCCCUUACUCCCUUUUCUCACAGUCCCCGUUACAUUAAUUACUUUACCUACAGGUUGUGACCUGUUAACGCCCCGCAUUUACAACAGCAAGACCACUGGCUCCCUCAGCCCUCCGGGCUCAAGGUGUCUCCCCAGCAUCACUGAGUGUGUGUGCACAUUUAUUUAAACUUCUCUAGCAGAACUGAGAGAGAACAAAUGAGGGAGCCGGCAGCCUGUCUUCCGCCGUGGGCAGGCCAUGUCCGCCUGCAACGAGGCCAACAGGGAAGACGUGCUGAAGACUUUCGCGUGAAAUCACACGGACACGUGCAGGCCAGCUACAAGGAGGGCAGAAGGGCUCUCCGGAAGCGAUAGGAGUGAUUGGACGGGUGGUCAUGAUCAGGGAGUCAGACACCGUCAGUGGAGAGGCUAGGUACCAUUUAGGAAAGGACUUCUUUUUUUUUUUUUUUUUUUUUUUUGUGGUGCUGGGGAUUGAAACUGAACCCAGUGCCUUGUGUCCAUGAGGCAAGCACUCUACCAAAUGAGCUCUAUCCCCAGACCCUGGACUUUUUUAAUACACAUAACAAAAUGUACCAUUUUAACCAUUUUAAAGUAUACAAUGCAGCAUCAUUAGGUACUUUCACAGAGAACUUCAUCUUUCCAAACCAGCUGCACCUGAAACACCACCUUCCUGCUCUCCAUCCCCUGCCCCUGGGGUCCAGGGGAGCGCUCCCUCUCUCCCUUCCAUCUUCCUUCUGUGAGUUUUACUCUUCUAGGGACCUCAAUAAGUGAAGUCCUGCAGCACUUGUCCUGUGUCACUGGCCCAGCAUCAUUUCACUCAGGAUGACAUCCUCAAGGUUCACCCAUGUUAUAGUAAGUAACUGGACACACACACACACACACACACACACACACACACUUUUUCCCCCUUGAGACAGCACCUGGCUGGGUGGCCCAGGCUCGUUCUCACUCUCAGUCCUCUCACCCCAGCCCCUGGUAGCUGGGAUCAUAGGUGUGUGCCACCUCACUCAGCAGCUGAUGAAAUUUUGCCUCCUUUAAAAAAGACAGAAGUGUGCUAGGGGCGCAGCUCAGCAGUACACCACUUGCCUUGGACGUGUGAUACCCUGGAGUUAACCCAGAGCACUGCAGGAAAAAAGAGGCAGAUUAUAAAUGGAAGCAAGAGCUCCUCCCCUCCAAUAAAAAGAAAAAGAUAAAAAAUCUUAUAAACUAGGCACUGAGGCAGGAGGGUCACAAGCUCAUGGCGUCUCAGCAACUUAGUGACACCCUGUCUCAACAUAAAAAAAAAAUUUUUUUGUUAAAGAACUGGGGCAUAUCACUCAGUGCUAAAGCAUCCUGGGUUCAAUUUCCAGUACCAAUGAAAAACAAGCAAGCAAACAAAGACCUUAUUAAUGGAAUAGCUAUAAUCUUACCAAAAAUAAUCCUCAAGAAUUUUUCUGCUGCUCCCUGAAAUGGUUGGUUCCUUAUCCAGAUGCUCAGUGGAUGCCCACCUUACUUCAGGGUUCAGCAGAAAUCUGAUAAGCCCCACUUUCUUCCCUGGUGGAAGCCAGCACUUGGGGAACCGCGUGGAGCCAGCCUGAGCCAGGCUUUGAGAUGAGUCUCUCCGGGUAGCAUUUUCAGAAUUCAUCGAUGACUUACAACCAGGCUACAACCAAAAAGCAAAACAAAAGAGGAAACAAAAUGUCAAGGCAUAUUUAAAAAUCAGAAAAUGAAGGCCAAUGUAGAGAAAUAGAAGAGCUGAUCUGCCCUGCGCUGGAGCCCGGCUGGUCGGUGCAGAGCCUCCUCCAAGACCAUGUGUCUCUCUGGAAACUGGCGCAGGCCAGGUCUCUGAGGCCACCUGUGGGUGCCCUUUGGGAAGCAGGUCCCCAGUGUGCCACGACAGAUGGGAGCCAAGUGCCGCGUGGAGUUUUGUCAAGAGACUGGUGGUUUGCUCUCCAGUUCUGCAGCUCGUUGCGGGGUCUCACAAUGGCUGUGCUUCUGUGUUAGGGUGAGGAAAUGCUGUUAAACAGUCGCACACCAAAAAAUCAAACAUGUCACACAAGUUGCGGUGUCCCACGACAGUCAUUCAUUCACCCCACACUGACUGCCAGGCACCAGAUCCAGUGCUCAUUUUAAAAAGAAUUUAUUAAAGGCUUCCAUGUGGCAUCUGUGUUAA